UGUCAAGGGAUGGGAAUCGAACCCACGACCUUCCUCUUACCGGGCAGAUGCCAUGACCACUAGGCUACCCUGGAC
rnacentral:tRNA from 1 species